rnacentral:rRNA from 1 species
CAGUCGACGCUUCUUUCCUCCCGAGUGCUUGCACUCAAUUGGAAAGAGGAGUGGCGGACGGGUGAGUAACACGUGGGUAACCUACCCAUCAGAGGGGGAUAACACUUGGAAACAGGUGCUAAUACCGCAUAACAGUUUAUGCCGCAUGGCAUAAGAGUGAAAGGCGCUUUCGGGUGUCGCUGAUGGAUGGACCCGCGGUGCAUUAGCUAGUUGGUGAGGUAACGGCUCACCAAGGCCACGAUGCAUAGCCGACCUGAGAGGGUGAUCGGCCACACUGGGACUGAGACACGGCCCAGACUCCUACGGGAGGCAGCAGUAGGGAAUCUUCGGCAAUGGACGAAAGUCUGACCGAGCAACGCCGCGUGAGUGAAGAAGGUUUUCGGAUCGUAAAACUCUGUUGUUAGAGAAGAACAAGGACGUUAGUAACUGAACGUCCCCUGACGGUAUCUAACCAGAAAGCCACGGCUAACUACGUGCCAGCAGCCGCGGUAAUACGUAGGUGGCAAGCGUUGUCCGGAUUUAUUGGGCGUAAAGCGAGCGCAGGCGGUUUCUUAAGUCUGAUGUGAAAGCCCCCGGCUCAACCGGGGAGGGUCAUUGGAAACUGGGAGACUUGAGUGCAGAAGAGGAGAGUGGAAUUCCAUGUGUAGCGGUGAAAUGCGUAGAUAUAUGGAGGAACACCAGUGGCGAAGGCGGCUCUCUGGUCUGUAACUGACGCUGAGGCUCGAAAGCGUGGGGGAGCAACAGGAUUAGAUACCCUGGUAGUCCACGCC